rnacentral:rRNA from 1 species
CCUACGGGAGGCUGCAGUGAGGAAUAUUGGUCAAUGGACGAGAGUCUGAACCAGCCAAGUAGCGUGAAGGAUGACUGCCCUAUGGGUUGUAAACUUCUUUUAUAUGGGAAUAAAAUGUUCCACGUGUGGGAUUUUGUAUGUACCAUAUGAAUAAGGAUCGGCUAACUCCGUGCCAGCAGCCGCGGUAAUACGGAGGAUCCGAGCAUUAUCCGGAUUUAUUGGGUUUAAAGGGAGCGUAGGUGGAUUGUUAAGUCAGUUGUGAAAGUUUGCGGCUCAACCGUAAAAUUGCAGUUGAAACUGGCAGUCUUGAGUACAGUAGAGGUGGGCGGAAUUCGUGGUGUAGCGGUGAAAUGCUUAGAUAUCACGAAGAACUCCGAUUGCGAAGGCAGUUCACUGGACUGCAACUGACACUGAGGCUCGAAAGUGUGGGUAUCAAACAGGAUUAGAUACCCUUGUAGUC